CAGGCUGAAAAAUUCUAUUGUGUGUGUGUACCACAUUUUCUUUAUCCAUUCAUCUCUUGAUGGACAUUUGGGUCGUUUCCAUAACUUGACUCUUCUUAACCUUGUUGCAGUGAACACGGGAGUGCAGAUAUCUUUUGAAGAUCCUGUUUUCAAUUCUUUUGGGUAUAUACUCGGUAGUAGGGUUGCAAAUUAAAAAUGGAGCUCUCACAGACCAUUAUUUUCUUGAUCCUUUGGUGCAUUUACUUUGGGUUGCCUAGGAACUCCUCCGUCUGUGGAUUUACCUUGUAGAGUCAGAGGGGAUGAUUGGGGAACCUGCAUGGCGAUGUGGGUUUUGAGCCUCUUUGGAAUUCAAACAAUACUGAUUUACCAGAACAAGAAAAUUUGGCUUUGGCCCCAAUACAGGCUGAGAAAGUUCAUCUUUUUAAAAGGGGCCAGUUCUUGAUUAGUUAGGGUACUGGAAUGGUCCAGGGAGGGAUAACUCAGGCCAUUUGCUUUGCCUCCUUCCCUUUCUUUCUGUCUGAUCUUUGGCCAGUUCAUGGCUUUCUAAUCCUGCCACUGGGGGAUGAAGGAAGAUUAAACUUGUGCCGUUGCCUUUGCAUGUUAUGAGCUCUCCAGAAAAAGUUUGCAUGGGAAUGGCCGAAGAUGUGGUAAGUUAAAGCAAAAUCAAUACACAGUUUACUAUCCAUGUCUUUCUGCUACCCUGCAAAUUUUCUUCCUCUCCAUGUAAUCUCUUUAUUGCAGCCUAGGAACUUUGUCAAGGGCUCCAUGACCAGGGUCUUUAGGAAACUCCAAAGACCUGAGAUUUCACCAGCAGAAAUGACAGCUGUUCCAAAAACAGAAAGGAGGUAAUUUCUUGUGUUUCAAAUUUCUCCAAAGGUGAGAGUUAAGACUCACUCUCAAGAUCUUUAUGUCACAUAGGUAAUGAGAGGAAGGGGUAGCAUUUUAACAGAUCACAUUCCCAAGGCCAAUCCAACGGGAGGGCUGGAAUUUGGGGAGGCUGCAGGGAGCAGGACUUUGGUGCCGCAAUCACUGGUUACCCUGUAAUAGUAUCUCAGGAGACUUUCCUGGUUACUGAGGACCAGAACUGUAGCUGAUUUUCAGCCCAAUACUUGGUGGGUUCUGUGGAGUCCAGCAUUCAAAGCCCUACCAUCGAGUGUGACUUCAGUGUCACAGGCAGAUGGUGUCACCAAGGCAUAAUGACUCCUGACCUGUGGCUCUGCUCUUCCUCCUUUCUCUUCCUCUCUCCCCUUCCCUGGGGGCCUGUGGUCCAGAGCUGCAUUCCUUUGUUAUCACACUUCCUUCCACAGACUGCACACGCCUGUUCAGGACACCAAGCUGUGUGAAAGCACUCCAGGCUGGUGGGAAUACCGCUCCCAGAAAGAAUCUGACUUGUUUCAGAAGCUUAUCUUCUGGCACUUGCUCUUCCAAAGAAAAAGGCUGCAGCAGGAGGAUAAAAGAGGCAAUCCAGGAGUGUGUGAGAUGGAGCCAGUUACAUGCAUCUCAGCCCAGGGAGGGAGUGAGGAGGGAAUGAAUGCGGCCUAAGUCCCUCACCUGCAAUGUGUAGGAGGUAAAUGAACCUGCUCACCCUCCCUCUCACCCAGCCACAUUCAGGGUCAUUUGCUGUAGCUCAGGUGGCUGCGGCUAGGGUGGGGUUGCCAGGUGGAAUAAUGGUCAUGCACAGCUGCCCCUCCACAGGGGCUGAGCCCAGGGUGGCUUCACUGGAAGAGGGUGUGGGACAAGCUGGGUAUCCUGGCUGACAUCUCUGCUAGCUGUCGGAAAGUUGAGUGAGGGAUGGGGUAGCUGUAUCUGUGUGUGUAUAUGUGAGAGAGUGUGUGUUUGCUGGGUCCUCGUAUGUGUUUGUUUCAGAUGGAUGUGUGUGGGUUUGAGGCCAGGGGAAUGGUGAGUCAGGGCAGCCCUGGGGGCAGGGAGGGGUGGGUGUGAGCAGGGCGAGUGAAGUGGCUGCAGCAGGAACAGGGGAGGCAUGCGGAACAUGGGUGGCAUGAGAGCUGACGCUACGACUGAAUGGAUUUUGAAAGGUCUUUGUCUGCCUCAAUUAAAAGGAUAGAUCCUUUUUUUCUUUAAGGCUGAAUAAAUAAUUUUUUCCCUUUUCUUCUUUGGUUCUUUUCAUAUAACAAUUUGUCAAACUCCGUCAAAAACAAACACAAACAGAAAAACCCAAAAGUCUUCUUGAAUGGGUUCAAGGUGCAGGAGGCACAGCUGAGCUGUGGGGAGCAGCGGUGCAGGAGCGGGGUGCUCGGUGGACUCUGGACCUGCUCUUGGGGCUGCUGGCCCCCUUCUUGCCCGUGUGGCCAGGGCAGCCCUUUGGAAAAGCUGUGCUGUAGCUUCAUCUUUUGUUUUGGCUUUUAUUGGCAUAUUCUUUUGUUCUCUUUAACUGCAUCCAAUCAAAUUGGCACAUCUGAGGUUCGGGAAGAUGGUUUGGAGCCAUUCCAUUACUCUGCCUAUCGAAUUCUGGGAUUUCUGCUUCCUGCCCUGUCCUGUCUUCUGUCCCCAGCUCACCCGGCCCCUACUGAUGUCAUGCUUUAUCAGCUUUCCACUGUGCAUGUAACUCUGCCUGGCAUUUGGUAUUGGGGUGGGUGUGGUGCUUUGAGAGAGGCACAGCAGAACCACUGAGAGAAAGGACGGUGUUUUUCCGUUUAGACCCUCAUUCAUCCCCUCCUUUCUCUAUUUUGCAGGUGCAGAACAUUGAGUUAUGGGGGUCCAGGGUAAACUUGGCUACCUUGGUAAACAUGGCUACAAGCUCCUUUAUAUAACUUUAGGUUUCGGGACACAGCAUGGAAACCACUACUCUAGACGACAGCCAUGUGACAUGCCUGCCCCCACUUUGCCUCCCACCACAAUUGGAAGCUUCCUGAGGCCUUCACCAGAGGCAGAUACUGGCACCAUGCUUCCUAUACAGCCUGCAGAACGGGAAAUCUUUGAACACCUCAGUUUGUCAGUGGCCACAUCUGUACAACGGGCUACUGGAAAUGUGCUCACCUUCAGAAGAUGCUAUUUCAAACCCACGCAUUUGCCCUGAGCCAUCUGCUUUCUAGAUGGCCCAUCUUGUAGCAACUCAUAGAUGACUUUUUCAGAUACUUGGUUGGGGGCGGGGUCAAGACCGUGUUUUGAGAAUAGACUUUUUCCCUGUGGGAAACUGAAAGGCUUGUGGUGUAAUGAUCCCUGGCCUGGGGCCUCCUUUGCACAGUUAAUUAAUUCCAACGACAAAUAUUUACUGUGCAUCGAGCGUAGCAGGCAGUGCCCUGACUGAUUAAGAUGAUCUGAUAUGGUAAUGCAGGGUGGACUUGAGAAAUUAAUGAUUUUAAAAUGUAGUUAGCAACCUAGGGUUCUGGAGGGACAAUGCCAGACUUUCUUCUGGUGUUCAAACCGUCCCAGACUGUGAAGGAACUGGUCCGUGAUGUCUGCCUGGGCUGCUUUGCCUCUGCUCCAUAGCUGAGGGAAGGGGCAGCUCUUGGCUCUCUGCCAGUGUUUGUAAUCCGCACAGCAGGCUCCCAUGUCUUCUGGGUGGGCCUGCAUCUUUUGUUACAUAUUUGUCCCCGAAUCCAGACCACUUCUGAGCUCUCUGGGGAGAAUGUGCCCAAGAGCUGUUCAGUGGGGUGGGCAGGCUGGUGGAAGUCCUCAAGCCUAAUUUGUUCCGCUUCCCUUCAGCCCUUCAGUCCUAAUUCAUUUGUUUGUAUUUGGGGGAAAAAAAAUCUCUCAUUAUUGUCUAUCCUUUAUUUCCUGGAAUUCAACAUGAAAGUUGUCAUUGUUUUAGUUUGUGGCCUCCAAAGAAAUAAACCAUUUGAGCAACAACUGCAACAAUAGCAACAAUUCUUCAUGGCAUGGGCGUCAGACCGGUUGACUUUGGAAUCUAGGUGUCCAUUUUGUUAGAAUUGAAUGUGCACUGGGUUUGGGGUGGGUGUGAGGGAGGCUGUAUUUAUUUUUGAACUUCUUUCGCCCAUAAUGAAAACCAGCUGCCUCUCCAACAAGUGCAUUACUCUUCCCAUAGAAAGCCUCAUGGACAGACUGAAGCUACAGGGGUGGCAAGUCACAUAGAUGGAUGUUUCUAAUUUGAUCUAGUGAGCUUCACCCUCUAUCUCUCGGUCCUCCAGUCCUUGCUCGUGGGUUGAUGGACACCUUGUCUCCUUCCAUACUUGUGGAACCUAGGGGUACUUUUAGUUAGUGGAGGAGAAAUGUGUCUCUUCUCCCCACUGAUUCGCCAGGGUGGACAUGGAGGGGACCUCCCCACCCUGGGAAAGGUGGCCCCAUUCAGCUUGAGUCUGGAGUGAGACCAAACUUUCCUGCCUGCUGCAUACAACUUCAACUCCAAGUCCAAGCUGGGCCCGUUAUUUUGGCUGCUUGGAGAACAUUCCUUCCCAUGUGCUGAUGCAUCAGGGUAUCUCCAGCUUCCUUU
rnacentral:lncRNA from 1 species